rnacentral:rRNA from 1 species
AUUGAACGCUGGCGGCAUGCUUUACACAUGCAAGUCGAACGGAUUGAAGGGGCUUGCUCCUUCAGUUAGUGGCGAACGGGUGAGUAAUGCAUCGGAACGUACCGUGUAGUGGGGGAUAACCUGGCGAAAGUCAGAUUAAUACCGCAUACGAUCUACGGAUGAAAGCGGGGGACCUUCGGGCCUCGCGCUAUACAAGCGGCCGAUGUCGGAUUAGCUAGUUGGUGAGGUAAAGGCUCACCAAGGCGACGAUCCGUAGCGGGUCUGAGAGGAUGAUCCGCCACACGGGGACUUAGACACGGCCCAGACUCCUACGGGAGGCAGCAGUGGGGAAUUUUGGACAAUGGACGCAAGUCUGAUCCAGCCAUGCCGCGUGAGUGAAGAAGGCCUUCGGGUUGUAAAGCUCUUUUGUCAGGGAGCAAAUCCUGCCUGCUAAUACUAGGUGGGGAUGAGAGUACCUGAAGAAUAAGCACCGGCUAACUACGUGCCAGCCGCCGCGGUAAUAC